rnacentral:piRNA from 1 species
UAGUUGGUCCACUGCGUCAUUCAGAAGC